AUGCAGACAGAGCGUAUGAAAUCCUAUGGAGAUGAGAUUUUCAGCCCUGGUGCUGGUCUCCACUGGAUUCUUUCCUCUCCUUACUUGCUUGAGCACAGUGCUGAAGACCAGACAAUGGCUCUCAAGACAGACGUGCUCCAGGACAGGAUGAAAUCCUGCACCCCUGCUCAUGUGCCAGGCUGCAGGCAGCUGCAGGAGUGCAGUUUGCAGAAAUUUACUGCCCUCUCCAAAAAAAUAGUUAAAUUGAAAGUGAAAAAUAAACGCUCUUCGAGUUCUGCCUGCAGCCAGAGGCAAUCACUAUCUUUCUCAUCUGUGCGCUCCAUCCAAGCCUUCAUCAAUAGAGAGCAGUUGCUCCAGUCUCUGAAGAGAGCUGACGCUGGUCCUGACAUCCAAAAGCACUGA
rnacentral:lncRNA from 1 species